AGUAACACCCUUUCAAAAUGACUUCCAAAACAGACACAACUUGCAAAAUAUUUUAAUUUCAAGACUACAAAUGGUAAUAGAUGGUACGAUGGUAAUAGAUAACGGCUAUUUUCAAAGGAGGGCCAGUUGAGCAUGCAAAGGGGACUAACUACAGUAGGCGCUCCGCGGCUUCUGUUCAAAUCCUUGGCGGCGAGGAACAGAGGGACAGCGCGCAGUGAAUCCCAAAUCCGUAAUGACUUCUCCAACCUCGAGCCCUUGCGAUGGCUCAUAAAAAGCUGGUUCGACCGAAAUGUGGUUGUAAACUUCGAGAUACAGGAGCUGAUGUUUCAUUCAGCCACCUCGGAGAUGGCGCUGAUGUGAGGCUGGAUGCAUGUGAACGUGUGGGCAGGAGCCAGGCGGUGUCCUACCUCCAGCGUCUGCUCCAGCUGAAGUACACUGGUCACCUGGCGGCCGUCACCCUCUGCCUCAUAGAGAGCUGCUCCACAAACACAGCUACACAGCCAAUGACUACCACCAAGAGCUGGAGAAGUGGCGCAGUGCAGAGUUCUAUGAGCAGAAGGUGCACCGCAUGUAGCUGCCCUUCUCUGCCAAGGUUCUGGGCGGCGUGGUGAUUGUGGAGGAGAUGCAGGAGAGACGCGCCCAGCAGCUGCGCAGGCUACAGGAGAUAAACGCCUGGCGCAGGGAGGAGAUGCUGCAGCAGGACCAAGAGCUUCUGGAUAAACUAUUGGCCCUGCAG